GGGGAUGUGGCUGAAGCGGUAAUGCGCCCGCUUGGCAUGUGCGGGGUACUGGGUUUGAUCCUCAGCACCACA
rnacentral:tRNA from 1 species